AUUGAACGCUGGCGGCAUGCCUUACACAUGCAAGUCGAACGGCAGCACGGGUGCUUGCACCUGGUGGCGAGUGGCGAACGGGUGAGUAAUACAUCGGAACAUGUCCUGUAGUGGGGGAUAGCCCGGCGAAAGCCGGAUUAAUACCGCAUACGAUCUACGGAUGAAAGCGGGGGACCUUCGGGCCUCGCGCUAUAGGGUUGGCCGAUGGCUGAUUAGCUAGUUGGUGGGGUAAAGGCCUACCAAGUCGACGAUCAGUAGCUGGUCUGAGAGGACGACCAGCCACACUGGGACUGAGACACGGCCCAGACUCCUACGGGAGGCAGCAGUGGGGAAUUUUGGACAAUGGGCGAAAGCCUGAUCCAGCAAUGCCGCGUGUGUGAAGAAGGCCUUCGGGUUGUAAAGCACUUUUGUCCGGAAAGAAAUCCUUGGCCCUAAUACGGUCGGGGGAUGACGGUACCGGAAGAAUAAGCACCGGCUAACUACGUG
rnacentral:rRNA from 1 species